rnacentral:rRNA from 1 species
GAUGAGCGCUGGCGGCGUGCCUAAUACAUGCAAGUCGAGCGAACGGACGAGAAGCUUGCUUCUCUGAUGUUAGCGGCGGACGGGUGAGUAACACGUGGAUAACCUACCUAUAAGACUGGGAUAACUUCGGGAAACCGGAGCUAAUACCGGAUAAUAUUUUGAACCGCAUGGUUCAAAAGUGAAAGACGGUCUUGCUGUCACUUAUAGAUGGAUCCGCGCUGCAUUAGCUAGUUGGUAAGGUAACGGCUUACCAAGGCAACGAUGCAUAGCCGACCUGAGAGAGUGAUCGGCCACACUGGAACUGAGACACGGUCCAGACUCCUACGGGAGGCAGCAGUAGGGAAUCUUCCGCAAAGGGCGAAAGCCUGACGGAGCAACGCCGCGUGAGUGAUGAAGGUCUUCGGAUCGUAAAACUCUGUUAUUAGGGAAGAACAUAUGUGUAAGUAACUGUGCACAGCUUGACGGUACCUAAUCAGAAAGCCACGGCUAACUACGUG